AUGAAGGUCAAGGAGUAUUAUAUGAUUGGCAGAAAAGUAAUUUUGAACUCUGGCAAUCUUGCCAGAAUGUGGAUGGAUCCUUGUGGCGAGGAGCAACCAUUGUAUGUCCAGUUCCCUGUGUUAUUCAGUGUGUGCAAUAAUCAAGAGAUAACUGUGGCUAAGUUCAGGGAGAAUGUGGAUGUGAACUUCUUUAGGAGAAGACUCAACCCUCCUCUUCUUGACCAAUGGAGGGGGGUGCAAGCUAGGGUGAGGGCUUGGCCCCUUACUAACGACCCUGAUCAGGUC
rnacentral:rRNA from 1 species